UUGGUUAAGUCCGUAACGAGCGCAACCCUUGUCCUUAGUUACCAGCACGUUAUGUGGGCACUCUAAGGAGACUGCCGGUGACAAACCGGAGGAAGGUGGGGAUGACGUCAAGUCAUCAUGGCCCUUACGGCCUGGGCUACACACGUGCUACAAUGGUCGGUACAAAGGGUUGCCAAGCCGCGAGGUGGAGCUAAUCCCAUAAAACCGAUCGUAGUCCGGAUCGCAGUCUGCAACUCGACUGCGUGAAGUCGGAAUCGCUAGUAAUCGUGAAUCAGAAUGUCACGGUGAAUACGUUCCCGGGCCUU
rnacentral:rRNA from 1 species